UACGUAGGGUGCGAGCGUUGUCCGGAAUUAUUGGGCGUAAAGGGCUCGUAGGCGGUUUGUCGCGUCGGCUGUGAAAACCUGGGGCUCAACUCCAGGCCUGCAGUCGAUACGGGCAGACUAGAGUUCGGUAGGGGAGACUGGAAUUCCUGGUGUAGCGGUGAAAUGCGCAGAUAUCAGGAGGAACACCGGUGGCGAAGGCGGGUCUCUGGGCCGAAACUGACGCUGAGGAGCGAAAGCGUGGGGAGCGAACAGG
rnacentral:rRNA from 1 species